UACAGAGGGUGCGAGCGGUAAUCGGAAUUACUGGGCGUAAAGGGCGCGUAGGCGGCCUGAUAAGUCAUUGGUGAAAUGCCUCGGCUUAACCGAGGAACUGCCAAUGAUACUGUCAAGCUAGAGUAUGGUAGAGGGAAGUGGAAUUUCCGGUGUAGCGGUGAAAUGCGUAGAUAUCGGAAGGAACAUCAGUGGCGAAGGCGACUUCCUGGACCAAUACUGACGCUGAGGCGCGAAAGCGUGGGGAGCGAACAGG
rnacentral:rRNA from 1 species